rnacentral:ncRNA from 3 species
CCUGGCAUGUACCUGCCAGUUCACUACAUCGGCAUGCGUCGGGGGCCAACCCUGAGGUGUGAAGCCCGAUGGACAACGUCCUAUCCCUCACGGGACACGCAGGUCUGGCAACAGCAGCGUGACGCUUCCGAAUUGCACGGAGGCAAGGGG